UGACGUCAUGGUUUACCCGCUCUAGAGGGGGAAAUGGAAAUCCGCGUGAAUUACACUAUACGCCGCGACCACUCCUUUGGUCCAACACGUUCCAGUCAACACUCUCAUUUCUCUGACUCCCUCUGCCCCCCCUCGCCCCCCACCUAUGAUAUAUAUAUACAUAGAAAGAUAACCAGAGAAACCACAAAUCUUCACACUCAACAUAUACCAGAGAAUUAAAUUAAUAAGCAAGAAAAGCAAAGGAAUUCAUCAAAUUACUUGUAUAGUGAUGGGGAAUUUCACUUCUUGUUGCUCUGUCGAAUCGCAAACAGCGAAAAUCAUUGAUCUUCAUGGGAAUAUUCGGAUUAUUGAGAUCCCUUUAACAGCAGCAGAUCUAAUGCUUGAAGAACCAGGUCACGUUGUUUCACCGGCCGUCGAGAUUUCCGGAUCGAAUUCCCGGUUUUCGGCGAUGAAAGCGGAUGAACAAUUAAUUGCCCGAGGAGUUUAUAUACUGAUCCCUUUAUGUAGGGUUCGUAGUAAGGUCACGGAAUCGGAGUUGGCAGUUGUUAAGGCUGCCGUCGGUGAUAAAAGGAAAGCAAAACGACAUAGUUCUAAGGUUCUGCCAGUACUAGUGACUGAAAUUUCCAGUGAGGAAAUUGUUGUUGGGAAUCUACUUAUACAUGCACAGCG
rnacentral:lncRNA from 1 species